GAUGAAGAACGUAUCGAAAGCGCGAAACGUAAUGUGAAUUGCAGAAUUCAGUGAAUCAUCGAAUCUUUGAACGCACAUUGCGCCCCCUGGUAUUCCGGGGGGCAUGCCUGUCCGAGCGUCAUUACAACCCUCAAGCUCAGCUUGGUAUUGGGCCCCGCCGCUCCGGCGGGCCCUAAAGUCAGUGGCGGUGCCGUCCGGCUCCGAGCGUAGUAAUUCUUCUCGCUCUGGAGGUCCGGUCGUGUGCUCGCCAGCAACCCCCAAUUUUUUUCAGGUUGACCUCGGAUCAGGUAGGGAUACCCGCUGAACUUAAGCAUAUCAAUAAGCGGAGGA
rnacentral:misc_RNA from 1 species